CGAUUCGGGGGGUCUUCCCGGCUCCCAGCACCCCCAAGAAGAUGGCUGCCGAUAAAUCUCGCGAGAAUUAAUGAAGUCUCGCGGUGACUCCCAGAGCCUGCUGGGAAGAGACGUAAGAUCGACGGGAGAGCCCUGAGCGAGUGCGAAGGCAGAGCCAGACAGUGAAAGAGAGAGACAGAGAGAAAGGUCUUCCUUCUGUUGGUUCACCCCCCAAAUGGCUGCCAUGGCCACCGGCGCACUGCACUGAUCUGAAGCCAGGAGCCAGAUGCUUCCUCCUGGUCUCCCAUGUGGGUGCAGGGCCCAAGCACUUGGGCCAUCCUCCACUGUCUUCGCGGGCCACAGCAGAGAGCUGGACUGGAAGAGGAGCAACCGGGACAGAAUCUGGCGCCCCAACCAGGACUAGAACCCGGGGUGCUAGCGCCGCAGGCGGAGGAUUAAACUACAUAUAUCUGUUAUGGAGUGUCACCCACCCAAAAUUGUGAGCCCAUUUCCUGGAGAGUUCAAUCAAGAAUUGCACCAGAAGGUGAUGUUGUAUAAAAUAAUUUCUUUGUGGAAACCAUAGGAAAUCAUUUCCAAAGCCAUGACUCCAUGACCAGGGUUGCCAGCUAUCUUUUCCUGACCCAAGUACUGAUGUCCCGAUGAAUACAGAGCCUUCUUCAAGAUUUGCAACCAUAAACAAGAAGGACCAAAAUACAAUAAAAUAAGAAACAAAAACACACAAAGUAGAGCUCUUAGAAAUUAAGUCUAUGAUAGACAAAAUAAAAGUUUUGACAGAAGAGAUGAAAGAUAAAAUUAAGAAAAUCUCCCAUUUAUUUAUUUAUUAAUGUCCAAAAAGACAUUAAUAAAUGCAAUAACUCCUGAAGAAAAUAAUUCCAGAAAAAGACAAUAAGAAAAAUUUUUGGAACUGAGGCCAUGAGUCUUUAGAUUGAAAGGAGACCACUCGGUAUCAACAGAAUAAUUGAAAAAAGACCCACACAGAGGCAUAUCAUUGUGAAAUUUCAGAAUUUCAGGGAAGAAAAACCUGGAAGGUGACUUUAAAAUCAGUUCACAAACAAGGAAAUAAGAAUCCAUAUGGUGUCAGACUUGUUAGCAGAAAGUUAGCCUCCUAGAUGAAGAUGAAGCUAUACCUCAAAAGUGUGUGAAACAAUCAUGUCUCCUAGACAAAUUAGUGGCCAAAUAUGAGGGUAAUGUAAUGACACUUGGAGAUAUAUAGGAUGUAAACAUACGCUUCUAUAGGAAACUACUGGAGAAUGCGCUCCGGCAGAUGAGACAGGGUCUGCGACAAAGGACCUGAGGAACUCAGGAAGAAAGAAGGCAGAGGAAAGUCCCUGGGUAAUAGCAAAAGGACAUCCUAAAUGACAGCUGUAUAGCAAACCUAGCAAUAAGUCAAUCUAGACAAACAGCAGGAGGAUGCUGGGGAGCCUCCAGGAAAAAACAGAAUCAAUAAAAUCUCUGAUCCAUUUGAGCACUUCAAAAUUUGAAACACAUUGGUAAGUAUUUGAAAGAUGAUGAAAUAUCUAAAAAAAUUUCUCCUGAGAAAUGAGGUAGUUAUUAAUGUUAAGAAAUGACAAAAUGCAGCAUUUUUUAAAACACAAAAAUGUUUCAUAGGAAAGAACCUGGCUCUGAAGGGUCAUCAUCUAUGAAAAUAUCAACACUGAAUACUGACCUAACCAAAAAUUGUAUUAUAACUUCCUGGGAAAGUGAGAAAUGUAACAAAAGUGGUAUUGGUGGUGUGUGAAAUGUGAAUCCUUACUUACUGGAACAGGAUAUUAAUAAAAAAAUUUGACAUGAUAAAGAAAUCAUACUACUAUGAGCAGAUUAUUCAGAGACGUGGGAGUAAAUAUCAGAAAAAAUAUAUAAAGUGAAAGUGGUUUCAUUUGAGGAAUGAGAUUGAGAGGGGCAAGAGAUUAACAGUAAGAAUAUUAUAUUUUGUAUAAUUUAAAAUUUUUCUCUUAAAAGUCAGAGAAAUAGAGACACAGACAGAGAGGUCAUCCAUCCGUGAUUUCACUCCCCUUAAUACCUGUAACAGCCAGGGCUGGGCUAGGACAAAAGCCAGAAGCCAGGAACUCAAUUUGGGUCUCCCAAGAGGGUGGCAGAGAUCCAGGUACUUCAGCAAUCAGCUGCUUCCUCCUAGGGAGUGCAUUAGUCAGAAAAUAAAGCAAAGCUGAGACCCAACAGAGCUUGUUGGGUUAGGGUUAGGGCAGGCAGGGGGUAGGGUUGCUGGGAAGCUUUCAGUUGGAGAUCAUAAGCCAGGGAGCCUGAAGAAUGGAGGAGAAGUAGCUAACUAGCCUUGUCAUUUAUUCUACAGAAAACUUUUAUUUAAUAAAUAUAAAUUUCAAAAGUACAACUUUUGGAUUAUAGUGGUUUUCCCCCAUAACCACCCUCCCACCCACAAACCAUCCCAUCUCCUACUCUCUCCCCCAACGCAUUCUUUAUUAAGAUUCAUUUUUAAUUAUCUUUAUAUACAGAAGAUCAACUGUAUACUAAGUAAAGAUUUCAUGGGCUUUUUAGCCAGAUCUGAAUGCCUUAGGGGCUGAUUCUGAAGCCAGAGUGCUGUUUAGGGCACUUGUCAUUCUAUGAUUCUGCUAUGUAUCCCACUUCCCAUGUUGGGUUGUUCUCUCCUUUUUAAUUCUAUCAGUUAUUAUUAGCAGACACUGGUCUUAUUUAUGUGAUCCGUUUGACACUUAAUCUUAUCUUUAUGAUUAGUUAUGAACUUAAACUGAUCACUUUAACUAGUAAGAUGGCAUUGGUAGUUGCCAACUUAAUGGGAUUUGGAGUCCCAUGGCAAGUUUUUAGCUUUAGCCUUAGGGGUAUGUCUGAGGGAGCAUGUGCCAAACUGUACAUCUCCUCCCUCUCUUAUUCCCACUCUUAUUUUUAACAGGGAUCACUUUUCAGUUGGGUUUAAACACCUAAGAAUAAUUCUGUGUUAAUUAAAGAGUCCAACCAAGGGUAUUAAGUAGAAAAAGAAAAUACUAAAAAGAAUAAAAUAGUAAGAUGUUCCACAACAGUCAGGACAAGGGCUGAUCAAGUCACUGCUUCUCAUAGUGUCAGUUUCACUUCUACAGGUUUCCUUUUAGGUGCUUAGUUAGUUGUCACUGAUCAGGGAGAACAUAUGAUAUUUGUCCCUUUGGGACUGGCUUAUUUCACUCAGCAUGAUGUUUUCUAGAUUCUUCCAUUUUGUUGCAAAUGACUGGAUUUCAUUUUUUCUUUUUACCACUGUGUAGUAGCAGAUGUCUGGGAAAUUGGUCAGGAUUCCUUAGGGAAGAAGGAACUCAGCAGUCAUGAUCUCAUCAGUCUUGCUGUGACUGUUGCCAUAUUAUGAGCGUGUAUCUGUGGCUAAGAAUCAUGUUUGCAAAAAAAUAAAAUAAAAUAGCAAUUUUCAUGGACAACUCUGACCUUAAGUAUUAGCUCAUAAUACUCACAUCUGAUUUUUUAACUUCUCAAGUAGGUUGGCCAGAUGCGGUUGGAGGAUGGCCCAGGUGCUUGGGCCCCUGCACUCACAUGGGAGACCAGGAAGAAGCACCUGGCUCCUGGCUUUGGAUCAGUGUGGCUCCAGCCGUUGUGGCCAUUUGGGGAGUGGACCAGCGGAGGGAGGACCUUUUUCUCUGUUUCUCACUGUCUGUAACUCUACCUGUCAAAAAAAUAAAUAAAAUCUUUAAAAAAAUUAUUAAGUAUCAAAAAUAUCCCAUUGGUAAUUAUAUUGAUUUUUUCUACUCUUUAUAGAAAAGAAAAUGUGUUUUUCUUGCAUUUGAUCCUUAACAUAGAUGACUGAUCCUAUUGUCAAAUGAUACUAAUCUUAGAUCAUUUUAGAAACAGGUUUUAUCUAUUUUUUUUUUAUUGAUUUGAAAGAGUUACAGAGAGAGGGGAAGAGACAUAGAGACAGAGAGAGAUCUUCCAUACACUAGUUCACUCUUCAAAUGGCCACAAUUGCCAUUUGGCUAGGCCAAAGCCAGGAGUCAGGAGCUUCAUCUAGGUCACUCACAUGGUUGUAGAGUUGCAAGGACUUGGGCCAUCUUCUGCUGCUUUCCCAGGCAUGUUUGCAGGGAGCUGGAUCAGAAGUGGAGCUGCUGGGUGUAAAACUGGUGCCCAUAUGGGAUGCUGGCAUCACAGGUAGUAUCUUUACCUGCUAUGCCACAAUGCUGGCCCAUAGAAAGUUUUUAAUGACUAAACAUUACAUAAUGAAUUGACUAAAACUGGGGCAAAAACACACUACACUUGACACAUAAUCCAAGCAUGCCACUCUCUGCCUAGGGACACUCUAUAUUUCUGUCCAAUAGAACAUUCUGCAGUGAUGCAAAAUUUCUAUAUCUGCUCUGCCCAUAUGGCAGUCACUAGCCACAUAUGGCUCUUUUGCUAACUGGUGCACCUAAGUGAUUAGUAGAACUACUGAGUGGCUAAUGCAACUGGAAAAUGGGAAUUUAAAUUUUAUUGAUUUUUCCCUUAGAUAUUUAAGCACUUUUCUUUAGAAGACCUGAAACUAAAUUUUUCAAUAAAGAGAAACCAAUAGAUUUUAAAUCUAGUGAAAAUUGAUUUUUGAAAAAUUUAUUUAUUUGAAAAGCAAAAUGAGAGCAAGAGAGGGAGAGAGAGAGAUCAAUAUUCCAUCCAUGGAUCCACUUUUCAAAUGGCAACAACAGCCAUGGCUUGGCCACGUUGAAGCCAGGAGCCAGGAACUCUAGCUGGGUCUCCCACAUAGGUGGCAGGGGCCCAAGUACUUGAACUAUCUUCUGCUGAUUUCUCAGGGAUAUUAGCAAAGAGCUUGGGUUGGAAGCAAGCAGGACUUGAACUGGCACUCUGAUAUGAAAUACCAGCCUCGCAGGUAUGGUUUACCCUGGUGUGCCACACUGCCAGCCCCAUAAUGAGCCCUGACUUUAAAAAAAAAAAGUAAUUAAUUAGCUUAGGAGGCAGAGGGGAGGGGGCAGAAGGAACAAAUUAAAGAGCUCCUGUCCCCUGGAUCAUUUCUCAAAUUCCUACAAUAGCUGGGAUCUAGUCAGGCCAAAGUCAGGAGAUGAGUACUCAGUUCAGGACUCCCAUGAUGGUUGCAGAAACUCAAAUUAUUUGAGCCAUCACUACUCCCACCAAAUAUUUGCAUUUGGAGGAAAUCAGAGUUAGCAGCCUGAGCUGGGCAUCAAACCCGGGUACUUCAAUAUGGGAUGUGGGCAGAUUAACUGGCCUCUUAAGCACUAGGCUAAACACCCACACCUCAAAUGCGUUCUUCACUGUUGUGCUAUUCCAUCUUCUUAAAGUUAUUUUCCUAGAGAGGGAUUAGGAUAGAAUGAUUAAGUACCUAUUAAAUUGUGUUCAUAAAGUUAAAUAUAGGGAAUUAUUCAUUAUGUUUAAUCUUCCUCUUAGAAAACUAUGCUUAGAGGGGCUGGUGCUGUGGCAUAGUGGGUAAAGCCGCCACCUGCAGUGCCAGCAUCCCAUAUGGGUGUGGGUUUGAGUCCCGGCUGCUCCACUUCUGAUAGAGCUCCCUGCUAUGGCCUGGGAAAGCAAAGGAGAUGGCCCAAGUCCUUGGGCCCCUGCACCCGCAUGGAAGACCCAGAAGCUUCUGGCUCCUGGCUUCAGAUUGGUGCAGCUCCGGCCAUUGCGGCCCAUUGGGGUGUAAACUAGCAGAUGGAAGACCUCUCGCUCUCUCUCUGCCUCUCCAUUCUCUGUGUAACUGUGACUUUCAAAUAAAUAAAUAAAUCUUUAAAAAAAGUAUGCUUAGAAAAAAGACUAGAAAUAAAUGUUUUGCCUAUCUUUUGUAUAUUCAUAAUUUCUUUAAUCAGAAAAAUGUUUAUUACAAAAUUUCAGCUAUUAAAAUUUUAAAGUAAAUUUAAAUGUUCUGUAUGGUUUAUAUUAAUAUUUUGUAUUAGAGUAUAUUUAAAUAUAGUUUGUUUCAAACUUU